GGCGCGGCCACGCCGUAAAACCCCCAACUUUUGAASGUUGACCUCGAAUCAGGUAGGAAUACCCGCUGAACUUAAGCAUAUCAAUAAGCGGAGGAAAAGAAACCAACAGGGAUUGCCYYAGUAACGGCGAGUGAAGCGGCAACAGCUCAAAUUUGAAAUCUGGCUCUCGGGCCCGAGUUGUAAUUUGUAGAGGAUGCUUUUGGUGAGGUGCCUUCCGAGUUCCCUGGAACGGGACGCCACAGAGGGUGAGAGCCCCGUCUGGUUGGACACCGAUCCUCUGUAAAGCUCCUUCGACGAGUCGAGUAGUUUGGGAAUGCUGCUCUAAAUGGGAGGUAUAUGUCUUCUAAAGCUAAAUACCGGCCAGAGACCGAUAGCGCACAAGUAGAGUGAUCGAAAGAUGAAAAGAACUUUGAAAAGAGAGUUAAAAAGUACGUGAAAUUGUUGAAAGGGAAGCGCUUGUGACCAGACUUGGGCUUGGUUGAUCAUCCRGGGUUCUCCCYGGUGCACUCUUCCGGCCCAGGCCAGCAUCAGUUCGCCCCGGGGGAAAAAGGCUUCGGGAAUGUGGCUCUCUCCGGGGAGUGUUAUAGCCCGUUGCGUAAUACCCUGUGGCGGACUGAGK
rnacentral:rRNA from 1 species